CUAGUCGGAUCAAGAAAAUAGACCCAUGCCAUGUGUGUGUCGGGCGCCAAGGGCCUCACAUAGCAUCCUCCAAGUGGGGACUUCGAUCGUGGCAAAAAAAAAUUUCUCGAAAAUAAUUUUUUUUUAAAAUGUUUGCCACGAUCGGGGUACCUGCGACCUGUUGGCUUGGCGUGUUUUCUUCAGUGGGUUUCGAUGAUGURUGCUUGUGUGGGCCUAGCACAAGCAUAGAUGCAAGGAUUGUCUUGAUCUCGUUUGAAUUAUCAUGCUACUCAGGCAUUGAUUGCGAAAUGUAGUCUCGGUACUGCAUGGGCCAAGCGAUGCAUGACAUGCAUUCUAAUCAUGCGUGGUGAAGCGGCCCUUGAAAGGCAUGUCCCUUCUUGACGAAUCGUGCCCGGGAUGUGGUGUUGUCGGCCUCGCAACACCAUUGAGGCACAURCUAGUUGAUCUGUGGCYUAGGUACGAUGAGACGUUGGCUUCUGCUACCAACAAGUCGUGCCUAGGACUUGGUGAUGCUGGCGACUUGAGGCGUGUYGCUUGUUGUUGAUUUGUUACCUGUAYGCGCAUCGGGCGGUGCAUUCUUGGGGCUGUCUGGGCUUUGGUUGCUUGCUUGGCAUUCUUAAUUGGUCRAGUGGGUGGUUAUUGUUUGGAUGGUUUCAGGGAAUGUCGAUCGUAAAGGUGCAUGAGUGGUGUUUGGCUUGUUACGGGUGGUUGGCUGUCUGCUUGCGCAGGAACGUCCACGCGUGCAUGCCUCUUCAGUUGUGUUGCAAGGCCUCUAUGGCCUUGCACACUGGGUGGGUUUUCUGUGCUGCAUACCUAAUCGAUGGCAUCGUAUGGAUUGAAGAAGCCCUUUUCCGUCGUGUAUCGCUUGUUCGACUCGCGACGGACCCUCAGGYGUUSUUUGUCGCCCAUCUUGUGGAUGCAUGUGCAUCGAUGACUUGGUCGACGGACUAACGCUCGGUGUCUCGGAUACGGAACCUAAUGUGGGCAAGGGUUCUGUUAGCACCCGCUUCUGCCCCUCGUUUAGCGUUCUCGCUUCUCUGAAACGACAGCUUGUGGUGCCUCGGCUCGUCCGUGCACCAUGG
rnacentral:misc_RNA from 1 species